UGUAGCAUGGCCGAAAACAACACUAGUGGAUCUUGAGGGGUGCUUAACACCUCCCACUCGGGAUAAUUUCUAGUUCCUAAUCUCUGGUCUCUUCAUCUCAAACUCUUCUAAAAAAGUACCGUAAUGUACUAUAAUCAUUAGGUGGCGACUCUUCAACUUCUAAAUCUAAUUCUCGAAAGGGAAUAGAGUUGUCCUCCCAAUGUCGUAUACCAGAUUUUGACCCAUAUAAAAAGGGGGCAUCGACAAUAUCACUUAAGUUCUUCUAAGAUCAGUUAUCAUUAUGGGAUCCAUGUAAAGUUAUUUUUCGUCUUUAGUAACGAGAAACAUUGAUGGCUCUUAUUAGAACACAUCGAGAUGAAUCGCCUCAGGGCGAAAGUGCCCAGUUAG
rnacentral:lncRNA from 1 species